GAUGAACGCUAGCGGCAGGCUUAAUACAUGCAAGGCGAAGGGGCAGCAAUGUCACUGUCGUACGGGUGCGUAACGCGUAUGCAACCUACCUAUCACUGGGGGAUAGCCCGGGGAAACCCGGAUUAAUACCGCAUAAAACAGGGGCACCGCAUGGUGAUAUUUGUUAAAGAUUUAUCGGUGGUAGAUGGGCAUGCGUUCGA
rnacentral:rRNA from 1 species